rnacentral:rRNA from 1 species
UUCCGGUUGAUCCUGCCGGAGGUUACUGCUAUCGAGGUUCGACUAAGCCAUGCGAGUCGAAUGUAGCAAUACAUGGCGAACUGCUCAGUAACACGUGGACAACCUGCCCUUAGGACGGGGAUAAACCCGGGAAACUGGGUAUAAUACCCGAUAGGUCUCGAUUGCUGGAAUGCAUCGAGAUUUAAAGCUCCGGCGCCUAAGGAUGGGUCUGCGGCCUAUCAGGUAGUAGUGGGUGUAGCGUACCUACUAGCCUACGACGGGUACGGGUUGUGAGAGCAAGAGCCCGGAGAUGGAUUCUGAGACACGAAUCCAGGCCCUACGGGGUGCAGCAGGCGCGAAAACUUUACAAUGCUGGCAACAGCGAUAAGGGAACCUCGAGUGCCAGGUUACAAAUCUGGCUGUCGAGAUGCCUAAAAAGCAUUUCAUAGCAAGGGCCGGGCAAGACCGGUGCCAGCCGCCGCGGUAACACCGGCGGCUCGAGUGGUAACCGUUAUUAUUGGGUCUAAAGGGUCUGUAGCCGGCCGGAUAAGUCUCUUGAGAAAUCUGGCAGCUUAACUGUCAGGCUUUCAGGAGAUACUGUCUGGCUCGAGGCCGGGAGAGGUGAGAGGUACUUCAGGGGUAGGGGUGAAAUCUUGUAAUCCUUGAAGGACCACCAGUGGCGAAGGCGUCUCACCAGAACGGACCUGACGGCAAGGGACGAAAGCUAGGGGCACGAACCGGAUUAGAUACCCGGGUAGUCCUAGCCGUAAACGAUACUCGCUAGGUGUCGGCCACGGUGCGACCGUUGUCGGUGCCGUAGGGAAGCCGUGAAGCGAGCCACCUGGGAAGUACGGCCGCAAGGCUGAAACUUAAA